CCUUGGUGAUUUAGCUAAGGGGAAACACCUGUUCCCAUUCCGAAUACAGAAGUUAAGCCCUUACGCGCUGAAAAUAGUUUUUAUUUAUAAAAGUGAAAAUAAGUUUUGCCAAGGU
rnacentral:rRNA from 1 species